AUCUAGAGGAUGGCUCGGCUCGAGUGCCGAAGAAGGUCGUGACAAGCUGCGAUAAGCUACGGCGAGACGCAUGAAUGUCUGAGAACCGUAGAUGGCCGAAUGGGACCUCCUGACUCUUCGGAGUCAUUCGCAUUAGCGAAAGGGAACCCCCCGAAUUGAAGCAUCUUAGUAGGGGGAGGAAAAGAAAUCAAAGAGAUUCCGUUAGUAGUGGCGAACGAACACGGAUCAGAGCAAACCGAAUCCUGACUAGAAAUUGAAGGAGAUGUGGUUGUCAGUCUAUCGUCUAAGUCAAAGAAGGUGAAGUUACCUGGAACGGUACAGCCAAAGAGGGUGAAAGUCCCGUAACCGCAUUUGAUAUGACCACGUGACUGUCAAAGAGUAGUGUGCGUCGGAUAUCGCGCAUGAAUAUGGGAGGCAUAAACUUCCAACUCUAAAUACAACUCGAGACCGAUAGUUUACAAGUAGCGUGAGCGAAAGCUGAAAAGUAUCCUUAGCGGGAUGUGAAAAGAACCUGAAACUAGAUAGGUACAGGCUGAUAGGGCGUGAAAGCGAAGAUAUGAGCAGCGUCCUAUCGUGCGUUUAGAAAAAUGCCCCUGGGAGUCUUGAUCAUUGGCGAGGUUAAGGAGUUGAUCUCCGAAGCCGAAGGGAAACCGACAAGUCCGCAGUCGUAAGACGAGGGACGGGGUGUGCUCGCCCGAAGUCAAUGGUGGAGAACCUGAAGCCCACCGAUCUAUGCCUGGCCAGAUUGAAGCCCGACGAAAGUUGGGUGGAGGAUCGAACCGUUGCUGAUCUGCAAAUCGCUCGGAUGAGCUGGGUAUAGGGGUGAAAGUCCAAUCGAGGUGGGCAAUAGCAGGUUCCGCGCGAAACUACUCGUAGGUAGACGUCCGUGGAGGUUGAAUGCGUUGUAGAGCACUGAUUGUGUGUUUAGGGGGAGCGAUUCCUCGGCAUGCCGCCAAACUCCGAAUAUGCAUUCGCCGUAGAUACGGGCAGUGAGUGACGGUGGGUAAGCUACCGUUACAUAAGGUGAACAAACCAGCCUAACGUUAAGGUCCCAAAAUUCCGAUCAAGUGUCACAGACAAACCGUGUCCGUGGUCGAAAACAACUAGAAGGUGGGCUUAGAAGCAGCCAUCCUUGAAAGAGUUCGUAACAGAUCACUAGUCUAGCUUGCGGGCCGGGAAAAGGGACGGGGCUCAAAUCGGAUACCGAGACGUUAGUCCAUUGAAAAAUGAUGAGGUAGCGCGGCGACGUGUAUGGGUGGAAGCAAGGUUUUGAGAUCUUGUGGACCGUAUACGUAUGAGAAUCUAGGGAAGAGUAGCAGCACAGAGUGGUGAGAAUCCGCUCCGCCGAAGGGGCCAGGGUUCCUCGGCACUGUUUAUCAGCCGAGGGUUAGCCGAUCCUAAGGUCAUUCUUAACCGAGAUGAUCGAAAGGGAAUUGCGUUAAUAUUCGUAAGCCAUCCAACAAUAAUGGUGACAGCUUGGGCUAGUCUAUCGCGUCAUAUGUCAGGCGCGCGAAGCGUCUAUAAUCAACCGGAGAACUGUUACAGUGAGAAAGUUGAGAAGUCGUGAGUGAAAUAUUAGACGAGGCCCGGGUUCCAUGAAAAGCCGUUGGAAUGAUCGUACCAAGAACCGAAACAGGUGCCCCUGGGUGAGUAACCUAAGGUGUAUCGGGUAAAAAUAUCGCGAGGGAACUCGGCAAAAUAGCUCCGUAACUUCGGGAGAAGGAGUGCCAGCUUUGAGAGAAGCUGGUCGCAGUGACAAGGGAGCUCCGACUGUUUAAUAAAAACAUAGCCGACUGCCAGUUCGAAAGGAUGUGUAUAGUCGGUGAAUCCUGCUCAGUGCUGGUAUCUGAAAUUGGGGUUCAACCCAACGAAGGACCAGUAAACAGCGGGGGUAACUAUGACCCUCUUAAGGUAACGUAAUACCUUGCCGCUUAAUUGGCGGCUUGCAUGAAUGGUCCAACGAGGGCUCCACUGUCCCCGCGAUAUGUCCGGCGAAAUUGACUUUACUGGCGCACAGUCCAGUACCUUCAACCCGCAAGCGAAGACCCCGUAGAGCUUUACUGCAGCCUGUCGUUG
rnacentral:rRNA from 1 species